CAGCCAGCGAGCGGCCGGCCCGGCCGCGGGGGCCGUUCCGGGGCCCGGCUGCGGGUGUUCCGGGCCGUCGGUCGGCUGG
rnacentral:tRNA from 1 species